AACGAACGCUGGCGGCAGGCUUAACACAUGCAAGUCGAGCGCCCCGCAAGGGGAGCGGCAGACGGGUGAGCAACGCGUGGGAAUCUACCCAUCUCUACGGAAUAACGCAUGGAAACGUGUGCUAAUACCGUAUACGUCCUUCGGGAGAAAGAUUUAUCGGAGAUGGAUGAGCCCGCGUUGGAUUAGCUAGUUGGUGGGGUAAAGGCCUACCAAGGCGACGAUCCAUAGCUGGUCUGAGAGGAUGAUCAGCCACACUGGGACUGAGACACGGCCCAGACUCCUACGGGAGGCAGCAGUGGGGAAUAUUGGACAAUGGGCGCAAGCCUGAUCCAGCCAUGCCGCGUGAGUGAUGAAGGCCCUAGGGUUGUAAAGCUCUCUCACCGGUGAAGAUAAUGACGGUAACCGGAGAAGAAGCCCCGGCUAACUUCGUGCCAGCAGCCGCCGUAACAC
rnacentral:rRNA from 1 species